GUUGUAAAGGUGGGGCACUAAUCUGAUAGGGCUGGUGUCCUUACAAGGUCAGGAAGAGAUCUCUCUCUCUCUCUCUCUCUCUCUCUCUGCCAAGUGAGGACACAGGAAGACGUGACCACGCAGGGAGAAGAUCGCCGUCUACAAGCCAGGAAGAGAGCCCUCACCAGCCCCUGACCCUGCUGGCACCCUGAUCGUGGACUUUCAGCCUGCAGAACUGUGAGAAAAUCAAUUUCUGUUGCUUAAGCCACCCAGGUGUUGGUAUUUUGUUAUGGCAGCCUGAGCAGACUGAGACAAGUACCUACUGCUCGAGACGUGGGUCUGAAGGGAGAGAAAUCCCCUCAUCUCUGAUUCUGUGAUUUGGUUUGCGAGCUGCAAGAAUAUGAGUGAAGGGAAGUGUUGAAAGAGGAUAAAAGAAGGAAUAACCCAUUAUCUAAUCACUUUGGAAAAAAUGAGGCCUAUUUCACAAUGUCCUACGCAGACUUUGAAGGGUUCUUGCAGUAACAGCUCUCAGCCCAGCUUUCUUCCUUCUGUCCACACUUGUGGCUGUGGCAGUGACUUUUUAAAAAACAACCACCAUAGGAAAGAAAAAAGUCAAAGAGCAGAAGCCUCUGGAUUUUGCACCGCUGAUCACUGUAUUGACGAAGUUUGAGGUCUACUCUGCUGUUAUAUUCUAAUUGGAAGAGAAAUUUAACUGACAAGACUUAACACAAAAGACAAUAAACAGAAUUUUUUAGGUGGAGAAACAUAACUUGAAGAAAAAGAAGACUCUUGCUCAUCGAUUGUUCACUUUUCGUAAAUUGCAGCUACCUAGAGUUGUACAGUUGACAUGGCUCUUUCACAUGCAUCAUCUGAUUUGAUCCCCAAAACAAGCUCAAUGGGGCAAGAAACAGCUUGAUUAAAUGAUUUACCAAAGGUUACUUGGCUGGUAAAUGGCAGCACAGAAACUGGAAUGAGGAUUUUAGUUCAUCUAGUUUUUAAAAAAUCUAUUGUGUACCUAUUAUGGGUAAGCAUUGUAUUAGAUCUUGGAGACAAAAUGUGGACAGACAAAGAGGGAACAGACAGCAAACAAAAUUUGUUUAUGACAGUUUUGAUAGAUGCAAAUGCAAGAAAAGUGAAGAUUGUGAUGAAAAUUUAUAAGAAGGUCAUACCUUUGCCUGGAGAUGGGGUUUGGGUCAAGAGAGGCUGGCCCAAAGAAGUGACAUUUAUGUUCCCAGACCAGUGUCGUGGCUCCUAGUUUAACUAGAAUUCAAUACCAAUGGGCUCUCCACUCUAGUAAGAUAGCUUACCAUAGCAAAAUAGGGAGAAAUGAGAAAUACAACAGAUGGUAGUAUGUUUUUAUCAAGCUAAAUGUAUUUAAAAUAAAGGUCUGUCUUAUUUCUCAGAUUGUCUUUCCUAUUUAUGGGUUUAAACCACUCUUUCUUUUAUACAGUGAUUGUUACGGUAAAUAAAAUUUUUUUUAGUGAAUUGCUUGGGGCUAUAAAAAAUUUCAAA
rnacentral:lncRNA from 1 species